rnacentral:tRNA from 1 species
AAGGGAGACCUAAUUCAGGUAGGAGACGAAAAAAAAGUAGUCCCUACCAAGAAUCAAUCCCAAAAGGUCGGAACGAGGUAUGAGGCUUUCAAACUAGGUUCUGGGUUCAUAAAAGACCUGAAUCAGGAACAAGGGCUAUUAGCUCAGGUGGUUAGAGCGCACCCCUGAUAAGGGUGAGGUCCCUGGUUCGAGUCCAGGAUGGCCCACCUGCACAGGUGGCAAAAACAAGAGAAGCUCCGAAUCAGCACCUUAUCUUAUAUACAUAUAUAAGAGAGAAUGCUGGCUCUGAGUAAAGAGUCCAGAGGAACCUUGAAAACUGCAUAGAGCUAGGUGAAAAAGCCAAAAAAGAAGACCGCAA